AGUGAACGCUGGCGGUAGGCCUAACACAUGCAAGUCGAACGGCAGCACAGUAAGAGCUUGCUCUUACGGGUGGCGAGUGGCGGACGGGUGAGGAAUACAUCGGAAUCUACUUUUUCGUGGGGGAUAACGUAGGGAAACUUACGCUAAUACCGCAUACGACCUACGGGUGAAAGCAGGGGAUCUUCGGACCUUGCGCGAUUGAAUGAGCCGAUGUCGGAUUAGCUAGUUGGCGGGGUAAAGGCCCACCAAGGCGACGAUCCGUAGCUGGUCUGAGAGGAUGAUCAGCCACACUGGAACUGAGACACGGUCCAGACUCCUACGGGAGGCAGCAGUGGGGAAUAUUGGACAAUGGGCGCAAGCCUGAUCCAGCCAUACCGCGUGAGUGAAGAAGGCCUUCGGGUUGUAAAGCCCUUUUGUUGGGAAAGAAAAGCAGCAGGUUAAUACCCCGCUGCUCUGACGGUACCCAAAGAAUAAGCACCGGCUAACUUCGUG
rnacentral:rRNA from 1 species